GACGAACGCUGGCGGCGUGCUUAACACAUGCAAGUCGAACGGUAAGGCCCUGCUUUUGUUGGGUGCUCGAGUGGCGAACGGGUGAGUAACACGUGAGUAACCUGCCCUUUACUUUGGGAUAACUUCAGGAAACUGUGGCUAAUACCGUAUAGGAGCUCCUGCUGCAUGGUGGUGGUUGGAAAGUUUCGGUGGUUGGGGAUGCACUCGCGGCUUCUCAGCUUGUUGGUGGGGUAGUGGCUCACCAAGGCCUUGACGGGUAGCCGGCCUGAGAGGGUGACCGGCCACAUGGGGACUGAGAAAGGGCCAGGACUCCAACGGGGGGCAGCAGUGGGGAAUAUUGCAAAAUGGGCGGAAGCCGGAUGCAGCAACGCCGCGUGGGGGAUGACGGCCUUCGGGUUGUAAACCGCUUUCGCCUGGAACGAAGCGUGAGUGACGGUAACGGGUGAAGAAGCACCGGCUAACUACGUG
rnacentral:rRNA from 1 species